GGUCAAGCGAACAAGGGCGCAGGGCGAAUGCCUUGGCACUGGGAGCCGAUGAAAGACGUGAUAAGCUGCGAUAAGCUUCGGGGAGCUGCAAAUAAGCAUUGAUCCGGAGAUCUCUGAAUGAGGAAACUCACCUGGGUUCAUACUCAGGUACAAUACACUGAAAUUCAAAAUAGGUGUAUUGAGGGAACCGCCUGAACUGAAACAUCUAAGUAGGGCGAGGAAGAGACAUCAAACGAGAUUCCGUAAGUAGUGGCGAGCGAACGCGGAAGAGGGCAAACCGAGAGUAGAAAUACUUUCGGGGUACGGACUGCUUUUAAGACUCAAUCUGUUAACCGAACGGCAUGGGAAGGCCGGUCAGAGAGUGUGAGAACCACGUAGGUGAAAACGGAGAGAGCUGCGCAGGAUCCAGAGUACGGCCAGACACGUGAAACCUGGUCGGAAUACGGGGGGACCACCCUCCAACCCUAAAUACUACCCAGUGACCGAUAGCGUAUAGUACUGUGAAGGAAAGGUGAAAAGCACCCCGGGAGGGGAGUGAAAUAGAACCUGAAACCCUGUGCCUACAAGCACCUAGAGCACGUCAAAGUGUGAUAGGGUACUUUUUGUAGAACGGUCCGGCGAGCGAUUGUAUGCAGCAAGGUUAAGGACUUAAGGUCUGGAGCCGAAGCGAAAGCGAGUUUGAAAAGGGCGUUAAGUUGCAUAUAAUGGGCCCGAAACCGGGUGACCUACCCAUGGUCAGGUUGAAGUGGAAGUAAAAUUCCAUGGAGGACCGAACCGACCUCCGUUGAAAAGGCGGCGGAUGAACUGUGGGUAGCGGAGAAAUUCCAAUCGAACCCGGAGAUAGCUGGUUCUCCCCGAAAUAGUUUUAGGACUAGCCUCAAGUUAGAUACCUGGAGGUAAAGCACUGAAUAGCCUAGCGGCCGAGAGGUUAGCGAAGCUUAUCAAACUCAGAAUGCCAGAGUAUUGAUGCUUGGGAGUCAGACAGUGUCAGAUAAAUGUCAUUGUCAAAAGGGAAACAGCCCAGAUCUACAGCUAAGGUCCCAAAGUCAGGUUAAGUGGAAAACGAUGUGAAGAUACGCAGACAACCAGGAUGUUGGCUCAGAAGCAGCCACUCAUUCAAAGAGUGCGUAAUAGCUCACUGGUCGAGCGUCUUUGCGCGGAGAAUUUAACGGGGCUAAACCUGACACCGAAGCUUAGGCAAUG
rnacentral:rRNA from 1 species